UGUACACCAGGCUGGUCUCGAACUCACAGAGAUCCACCUGCCUCUGCCUCCAGAGUGCUGGGAUUAAAGGCAUGAGCUGCCAACGCCUGGCAAAAUAAGAUAAUUUUUUUUUUUUAAAGAAAAAGCCCUGACAGGACAUUAAGCGACAAAGAACUUCCAAAGAUGAUGUGGAGUUCAUUUUGUGAUGGCAUCUACUGCUGGGCACGCAGCCUACCCUUAAGAGUAGCUUGCUUCCCUCAUGAGACUCCCUUGGAGAAAACAAAAUUUUUAUUUGCAAGUGGUUAUCUAUUGGGGAUAGCUUCUGGGCUAGGGAUGGGGGCAGGUGUCCACUUCUUUCCCUUCUUAGGACCCCAUCUAGUGUAGACACAUGUAGGCCCUGGGCAUGCUGCCUCAGUCUCUGUGAGUUCGUUUGUGUGCUGAUCUGUUGAUUUACAGGGUCUUGUUUUCUUGGUUUCCUCUCGAUGGCUUUUACACUCUCUCUGCCUCCUCUUUUGCAGGGUUCUCCGAGCCUUGAGGGGAGGGAUUUGAUUGAGACACCUCAUUUAGGACUGAGUGUCCCAAGACCUCUCCCUUUCUGCCUGUUGUCCAGCUGAGUCUGUAUUUAUUCCUGUCUACUGCAGGAGGAAAUGUCUCCGGUAAUGGCUGGGCAAGAAAACAUAGAUCUAUGAGUAUAGCAGAAUAUUGAUAGGGAUCAUUUUACUGCUGUUAGGAGUCAUUUGUUAGCAGAACAGAAGUUAGUACUUCGCUUUAUAUUGGGCCCCUAGUCUCAGGCUCUUGGUCACCCAAGCAGUCUAACGUAGGGUUCCAUCCAAUGGAUGGGGCCUGAAGUCAAAUCAGAUAUUGGUGGGUUACUCUCACAAGCUUUGGAUAGUGUCUGUAUGAUAGCUGCAGUUUGAUUGAUUCAGCCCACUGUGAAGAAACACUAUUGGUAACCUAUUCGAAGAGGGCCUCGAGUUUAGACUUUCCACAUUAUCUUAAACAGAAGGUAACAUGCAAGCUUCCAAAGGAGGGAAGCAACCAACAGUCCUACCCAGCUAUGACAUCUAUGAACCAUAAAAAAUGAUCAACACGGCAUGAUGACCAGAGGGCCACAGUAGUGAGAUGACCCGUGAGAUUUUGGUGAUGAUAGUGUGACAUAGAUGUCCUAUUCAGAGCUAAGUGGUCCACAGUCUCUGAUCGUCUGCUGUGGGCUUCUGUAUUUAUUAAUCACCAUUUCCUGAAAAAAGGAACUCCUCUGAUGAUGGCUGAGCGAUGCUCUAAUCUACAGGGAUUGUCUGUCUUCUGCAAGUGACAACACAUCUUAGUGUUUGAGAGAGAAUGAAGCAAGUGAGAGAAGGUGACUCAUGCAGUUGUGUGGAUCUCCUGCCAUCAUUAUAAGUCAUGGCGUCUCUGCUGGGCCUUCCCUUGGACCGUCAUUUGAAGUAAUGUCGGGAUGAGAGGCAUCAAAGCAAAUAACUUCAGUCCCCCAGAUUGACAUCAUCACGAGUUCUACCAAGUUGCUAAUGCCAGAGUCCUCUAUGAGCCAUCUCCAUCCGGGGCACGGGUUACUACAAAAUGAUGGCACUCCUCCCUCUCUGUGAGUCAGACCCACGUAAGGAAAAGCUGUGGGAGGAGAAAGGCUCCUAAUUCCACUCUGUUCCCAAGAAGAGCAGAGUGACCUUGGUCUCAUUACUCAUCUGUGUUCUGGCUCUGGAGCAGAAAGCGGAUGGGGGAGAUUGCCUCCUCCCUCAGAUCUACCUCUCGGGCCUUGCACUGACCACUCCAGCACCCCGUAAUCCCCCCACCCCCUCCUGCUCCAACCAGGCUCAAGGAAAGCAAAUGCUUGGUUGACUUUGGCAGCCAAAGACUCCCGAGGCUUUGCUAAGGUUCACCCCAGUUCGUGCCUUCAGGUGUCCUUGUCUCUCUGGAAAGCCAGCUCCCUCAAGAUUUGUAACUUGGCUUUGGUCAAAUAGCUAUGAAAUGGAAUGCUGUAUCUCAAGAUUGAUAGCCCAGUGGGCAUCAAGAUCUCAUUUGUUUCCUGCCCAGGAAAUUUUUCAGUGGAGGAGAGCUAGCAGGGCCCACUGAAACACCACAACGAGGAGCUUCCUGGGACCAGGCCUUGUAACUUGUCUCUGCUGCCACUCUUUGUGAGCGGGGUGGGGGAGAGGGGCACUAAUGGGUUCACUACUGAGGUAGCUCCAGAGUGCUCUUCCCCAAGGAAGAGGACUCUGAGGACCAAACUGUCAUUUCCCCAGCUAUACCUGCUGGUGUCUUGUUAUUGAAUCACUUGAUCAAAGAGGGCUACCUUGCUCAAGCUUAUGACCACUCCAUGGGGACAUCUUAAAUCUCAUGAUUGAACAACAUGGAGUCCUACUCCUUGCCUCUGCAGGCUAGCUCUGAGACCUCCGAGGUCAUUCGGUGCUGGCCCAGGCCUCUGCGCUGAGUGCAACAGAGUUCACCUUUUCUUCCACCCAGCCCCGAUACCCCUCACAGUUGGGUCUCUCUAGAGCCCAAUGCCUGAUUGCAUUCUGUCUCGUCUCAUCACAUCUGUUUCUUGGGAAACCUCACUUGUGACAGCCCUCCCAGCAUGCCCUGGGAGAAGAGCUGUCUAACGAGCACAAACUUCAGAAUGUGAGUGGAGAACAAAUCACCGACGUCACUCAGUAUUCAGACUCCGUGGCCAGCUUCCCUCCCUCACCGCCAGGUGUGGGGUGAGGUAGAGGCGGACUCUAGCUGUUGGUGUGAGAAGUGGCCGAACCCCAUUUCCUUCCCAGAAUGCCAUCGCGGUCUGAGAGGAACGUGCCUGUCAAAUCCUAACACCUUUGCUCGUCUAACACCUUGUCUUGGGCAAGUUUCUACAUUGGGGAGAAACCUAAACAGGAACUUUGGGGACGGGGAGCACAAGGCUGUGUGUGAGCAGGAAGUGGUGUGCACAUCACCCGUGGUUCAUGAGCCCAGUUAAACGCUCCGUUUCUGCAACAUCAUCCCGAAAAUUCUAGGAAAGUCCUGCAAUUUGAGCUUAGAAAAAUGAAUAAUCCUUUAUUAAUAUGCAAACUAAGAGGCUAACAGCUUAUCAAAUAGCAGUGGCCAGUGGGCUUUGAGUGAGGAGAGUGUGUAUGAGAGCGGCGCAUGCGUGAAGGGCAGGCAGCAAGGAGAAGCUCUAGCUGCUCACCACUCCCUGGGCCUGUGAUGUCAUGAGCCUAAUGAUGGUCCCCAGACAUGGUGUCCCGCAGCACCUGUAGAGGAAAAUAAUAUAGCCGUUAUCACAAAGUCAUGCUACAGCUACCAGCUACCAUUGGACUUGUAGACAGUGAUGUGAAGUUUUCUCUUAAAAUAAAUGUCUAUAAACACCAA